GCCAGCAGCUAUAUCAUCCUCCACCUCAUAACUGGCAACCCACUGAAGCUCAGCAGGGGUGAGCCUCAUCAGUACCUGGAUGGGAGACCUCCUGGGAAAAACUAAGGUUGCUGCUGGAA
rnacentral:rRNA from 1 species